AAACAAGAGAUACUCAGGAGCAAUUUGUAUUAAAAUUGUUUUGGAUGCUGCAAUGAUGCCGUGCGGACACUGGGACAGCACGCAGCGUUGUCCUGGUUUCCCCUUGAAAAUCUCAUACAUUUGGUCAGUUCUCCUGCAGCGAUUCGCCUUCGCAUUGCUCAGGAAUGAGACAAGGAUAUUGUCGCACGGGCUGGCGACCGCGCUAACCGCGGAGUAUCACCUCUUUUCUUUCUGAGGGUAAUCUCGACCCAUCCUUAGAAGGUUAUUGCGCUUUGUGCUGCACGGCGUUCAAGGCUGUUAUGGUGAUGUUGACCGCUUAGUAGUCAUUUGGGCAGAAGCUGCCGCACCUGCAAGGGGGGAUCAGUGGUGGCGCUUGCUGACAGUGGACUGGCGUGAGGUAGUCCUAUGUUCAGACGUGCUUGAGAGACUCUAGAGCACAGUGUAUUUACAGUAGUCGCAAGCUUGUCGCUGUGGGAACCUCCAGUAGCUGCUGUAUUUGCCGCUUCCACGUAGUCAGCGUUCUACUGGCUGUGGAAGCAACGUGUAUAUCACUUUAUUUGGAGAAUGCCACUGGCAUGGCUCCAGCACUGCUCAUUCACAGAGGCAUAUGGCAGCCUCUGAUAAUCAUACCAAGGUGCAAAUGUAUGCCUCAGUGUUGGCACGUUCUGCCCGUUAGACAGAAGACAGAGCGCCACUUGCGGGGACAAGUGUCAGACACUUCUGUGCAUACAGUCACUUGUGCAACAGCAUAAAAAACUUGAAGUGCGCGCUUUCUCUGUUCUGAUGCAGUCUGACGCACUUUGGUCCUUUUGUAGGCAGAAUUAUAUAACAUGUGUGUGCUGUGUGUGCCCACUGAUGUGCUGUAGGCCCACUGACAGGGCAAUUAAGUGUGGACCUGCAGUUUCUAUGGGAAUUAAAUUCAGGCUCUGGAAGGUCUGAGGGAUCCAGAUGGGCCCAGCCCCGCGUAAGGCUGCAGCGCAACUCCUUAACAACAAGCACGUUCAUAAAUUUUAUCAGGGAGAAGGUAUGCUCGACUGCGUAGCAAAGAUAUGAAUCCUAGCAGAACCUGCAGAAUGCUGUAAGAUGUGAAACCAAAUCCCAAAGCACGAGCUCGAGUGGCUUACCUGCUUUAGCAUAAGCCAGCUGAAGCCAGACCCCAGCAGGAAUGAUUCAGCUGCUCAGCGACCCUGGGAAGUUUACUGAACCAUGGGGUGGCCCAGCUCUACAUGAUGCUCACAGCAUCAAGCAGUGGAGCAGAUCCAGGUUGGUGAUGCAGCCUUGACGUCGGAGCUCAGGAGCUUAGGACAAGGCAGCGUUCGUAUUGUCUACUGCAGUGCGCUGAAGACUAUCACCGGUGUCUUGAAGGUGAUUCUUAGCCUCAAGUUGUGCAAGGCAGCCUUAGUGAGGCCCAGGAACUAGACCUGAGAUGCCAUAGUGGGUGCUGUGCUGGCGCUGGUGCGAUCUAGGUGAUGCAUGUUACACGUCUCGUAUCUGUUAGUCCCACGUUGGCGUAUCUGCUUGUCUGAGACAUGGCACAAAAGUCCGUAUGCAUGCCAUGCUGCGUGCACUUUGCAUUUGCUGUUGCGCAAGCAUGACUCAUCAUGAUGUGUCGGAGACAGCUGUGGUGCAUGGCUAUGAUCAGGACGCUCUUGUCACCAGCUUAUUAAUGCUACCAGAUUAUGCUUUGUCUGGUGCUGCGACAGUGUCGGUGGUGCUGUUGGAGGCUCAGAUGC
rnacentral:lncRNA from 1 species